UGGGGAAUUUUGGACAAUGGGGGAAACCCUGAUCCAGCCAUCCCGCGUGUGCGAUGAAGGCCUUCGGGUUGUAAAGCACUUUUGGCAGGAAAGAAACGUCAUGGGUUAAUACCCCGUGAAACUGACGGUACCUGCAGAAUAAGCACCGGCUAACUACGUGCCAGCAGCCGCGGUAAUACGUAGGGUGCAAGCGUUAAUCGGAAUUACUGGGCGUAAAGCGUGCGCAGGCGGUUCGGAAAGAAAGAUGUGAAAUCCCAGAGCUCAACUUUGGAACUGCAUUUUUAACUACCGGGCUAGAGUGUGUCAGAGGGAGGUGGAAUUCCGCGUGUAGCAGUGAAAUGCGUAGACAUGCGGAGGAACACCGAUGGCGAAGGCAGCCUCCUGGGAUAACACUGACGCUCAUGCACGAAAGCGUGGGGAGCAAACAGG
rnacentral:rRNA from 1 species